UACGUAGGUGGCAAGCGUUGUCCGGAUUUAUUGGGUUUAAAGGGUGCGUAGGCGGCCCUGUAAGUCAGUGCUGAAAUAUCCCGGCUUAACCGGGAGGGUGGCAUUGAUACUGCAGGGCUUGAGUGAAGUCGAGGUAGGCGGAAUUGACGGCGUAGCGGUGAAAUGCUUAGAUAUCGUCAAGAACACCGAUAGUGAAGACAGCUUACUAGGCUUAUACUGACGCUGAGGCACGAAAGUGUGGGGAUCAAACAGG
rnacentral:rRNA from 1 species